rnacentral:rRNA from 1 species
AUUGAACGCUGGCGGAAUGCUUUACACAUGCAAGUCGAACGGCAGCACGGGGGCAACGCUGGUGGCGAGUGGCGAACGGGUGAGUAAUACAUCGGAACGUGCCCGGUCGGGGGGGAUAACGUAGCGAAAGUUACGCUAAUACCACAUACGAUCUGAGGAUGAAAGCGGGGGACGUUUGGGCCUCGCGCGCUCGUAGCGGCCGAUGUCAGAUUAGGUAGCUGGUGGGGUAAAGGGCUACCAAGCCGGCGAUCUGUAGCUGGUCUGAGAGGACGGCCGGCCACACUGGGAGUGAGACACGGCCCAGACUCCUACGGGAGGCAGCAGUGGGGAAUGUUGGACAAUGGGCGCAAGCCUGAUACAGCCAUUCCGCGUGCAGGACGAAGGCCUUCGGGUUGUAAACUGCUUUUGUAGGGAACGAAAAGGCUCUGGCUAAUACCUGGGGCUCAUGACGGUACCGUAAGAAUAAGCACCGGCUAACUACGUG